rnacentral:rRNA from 1 species
AAUCAACGCUGGCGGCGUGCCUCAGACAUGCAAGUCGAACGCGAAAGUUUCCUUCGGGGAGCGAGUAGAGUGGCGCACGGGUGAGUAACACGUAGGUAAUCUACCUUCGGAUGGGGAAUAACAAUCGGAAACGGUUGCUAAUACCGCAUAAUGCAGCGGCACCUAAUGGUGACAGUUGUUAAAGCGGGGGAUCGUAAGACCUCGCGUCUGAAGAGGAGCCUGCGGCGGAUUAGCUUGUUGGUAAGGUAAUGGCUUACCAAGGCGACGAUCCGUAACCGGCCUGAGAGGGCGGUCGGUCACACUGACACUGACAUACGGGUCAGACUCCUACGGGAGGCAGCAGUCGGGAAUUUUGGGCAAUGGGCGAAAGCCUGACCCAGCAACGCCGCGUGAAGGAUGAAAUCCCUCGGGAUGUAAACUUCGCAAGAACGGGAAGAAUAAGCGAGAGUUAAUAUCUUUCGUGAUGACGGUACCGUUUGUAAGCUCCGGCUAACUCCGUGCCAG